rnacentral:rRNA from 1 species
AUUGAACGCUGGCGGCAGGCCUAACACAUGCAAGUCGAACGAGUGGCGGACGGGUGAGUAAUGUCUGGGAAACUGCCCGAUGGAGGGGGAUAACUACUGGAAACGGUAGCUAAUACCGCAUACCAUCGGAUGUGCCCAGAUUGGAUUAGCUAGUAGGUGGGGUAAAGGCUCACCUGGGCGACGCUCCCUAGCUGGUCUGAGAGGAUGACCAGCCAAAAUGGAACUGAGACACGGUCCAGAGUCCUACGGUAGGCAGCGGUGGGGAAUAUUGCACAAGGGGCGCAAGCCGGAGGCAGCCAUGCCGCGUGUAUGAAGAAGGCCUUCGGGUUGUAAAGUACUUUCAGCGAGGAGGCGUUACGCGCAGAAGAAGAACCGGCUAACUCCGUGCCAGCAGCCGCGGUAAUAC